ACUUCUCUUAGCAUCAAA
rnacentral:snRNA from 1 species